GACGAACGCUGGCGGCGUGCUUAACACAUGCAAGUCGAACGGAAAGGCCCUGCUUUUGUUGGUUUCUCGAUUGGCGCACGGGUGAGUAACACGUGCGUAACCUGCCCUUGACUUUGUGAUAACUUCAGGAAACUGGGGCUCAUACCGGAUAUAAUCUCCUGCUGCAUGUUGUUGGUUGGAAAGUUUCGGCGGUUGUGGAUGGACUCGCGGCUUAUCCGCUUGUUGGUGGGGUAGUUGCUUACCAAGCCUUUGACGGAUAGCCUGCCUGAGAGGGUGACCGGGCACAUGGGGACUGAGAGACGGACCAGAAGCCUACGGGAGGCAGCAGGGGGGAAUAUUGCACAAUGGGCGGAAGCCUGAUGCAGAAACGCCGCGUGCGGGAUGACGGCCUUCGGGUGGUAAACAGAUUUCGAAUGUGACGAAGAGUGAGUGACGGUAAUGGGUAAAGAAGCAACGGCUAACUACGUG
rnacentral:rRNA from 1 species